rnacentral:rRNA from 1 species
UACAGAGGUGGCGAGCGUUAUUCGGAAUUAUUGGGCGUAAAGGGCGCGUAGGCGGCCAAGCAAGUCCUGGGUGAAAUCCCUCGGCUCAACCGAGGAACUGCCUCGGAAACUGCAUGGCUUGAGGCCGGGAGAGGGUAGCGGAAUUCCCAGUGUAGCGGUGAAAUGCGUAGAUAUUGGGAGGAACACCGGUGGCGAAGGCGGCUACCUGGACCGGUUCUGACGCUGAUGCGCGAAAGCGUGGGGAGCAAACAGG